UGUGCGACGCGAACAAGAUAUUGUAUGUCGGAAGAGUAUAAAAGUGGCGGUGAAAUGGUGAUAAGGCAGUCAGUUGUAAAGAAUCAUUGCUACUGUUUAAAACCAAUCUGUUAUUGUUUGAGUUUCGUUGCUACUGUUGUGAGAAUAUUCAAAACGGAGACGAUGUUGUUCAAUAUUCGAACGUUGUUCGUGGUGAUUGCGUUGAUUGUGAUUGUUGCUGAAGCGCGACCAAAACCAGAUCCACAAGUUUUCGACGAACAAGAACUGAUAAUCGAAGAACUGCCACCGCUUCCCGAUGAUGAUGUACACAUCGAUGCUGAUUCGUUCCCACUGGCACCUGAUGUACCGCCAGGAGUUGGCGGCGUUGAUGACUAUUACAUCCGAAAGUAACAGCCUUUUUUUACCGUAAACACGAGCUCUGCAUUCGAUGUAGUGCUGAACAUUUGGCGUGAUGAAGCCGUUUUUUAGCUUCAUUUAUUUAAUUCAGAAGUCUUUUUUCACUUCACUUAUUUAACAUUGGAACUGUGGCCGAAAUUCUGUGCAUUUCCAAGUGAAUUUUUAACGAAAUCAAUAAAAAUUGUCCAAUUUUUUUUUUGUAAUCUUUAAAUCGAGUUAUGUGUUGUUAUUUCCAUUCUGGUGUGUGGUUAAUCGAAUUUUCAGAGCGGAGUGUUUCAAAUGACUUUCAAUUAAUUGCAGCUCGUCAAGGGGAAUGAUGUGAAUUGAACAGUCGUUGAGGGAGAUGAAGCCAGUUAGAAAGCCAGAUGAAGUGAGUUUUGAAGCGAAUGAAAAUGGGUCGAAAAGGAAGUAAAAAAAAAAUGGUAGGAAGUGUGUGUUGGAGCUAGAAAACUCUGUCGAUGUUGAAGAAAUGAGUUGAAAUUGAAAAAACAAGAAAAAGUAGCCAAUUUCGAUGUGAAUGCAAAACAAUUCCGAAAUUGAAUUAAAGAUGACCGAGAACAAGUUUGAGCCAGCCAUUACAAAAGUUUUUUUUUCGAAAAAAUCAUCAUGAUACUAUGAAUACUUCAGAUGGAAUUGACAAAAAUGUUGUAUAUAGUUUCUCUAUUCACCACUCAUUAAAAAAUACUCGCUUCGGUUUUUUUUUCUCAUGCAAAGUUCUUUAGAAUUUCCAUUAGCCUCAACCAAAAUUCAAUUAAGCAAUGGACCUGGAUGGAAAAAAAAAACCUUCUGUUUUAUGGAUGCAACCAAGCAUGGCUCAUAUAAAAACGACAACAUCAUUUUUGCCCAUAAAAGAUAGAUAUACAGUUCAGCCAGGGCAUACGUGUUCAUUUGUGUGAACGAUGUGGAAUUUUAUGAAGCCAACGCAAGGCAUUCGUUUUUCGUAUAAUCAUGGGUAUUCAUAGUGAAGACUCUAUUUAGACCGAAACAUGUGCUGGAUAAAAACAAUGUGAUACACAUUGCGAACGUCGAAUGCUUUUGGUUUCGUACGUGUAUAUGUGUGUGCUUCCUUUGCUUGCUUUUUGUUCGUUGAGAAAAUCGGAAGCGGUUCGGUUCGGGUAUCACUACGAUGCACUGGGAGGGGGCACGAUACGUAUCGCAUCGCACCAUUCCGAUUCGAUUUUGUCAUCAGAGCCCGAUGAUUACUCACAACAUCAUCACUGUUUACAGUCAUUUCAAUUAAAUGCAAUCAGUAAACGCAUCAGCCAUACAAAACAAUCAACUGAAUUUAUAGAAAUAACUUGCGAUGAGACGAGCCAGUUGUUUUUUUUCUACAGCUUUGUUUCGAAACGAGCAUUUUGCCUCAAUUAAAACUUAUCAUUCAAAAUAAUCGAUCUAUGGCGGUAUGGUGACUUUACCGAAUCCAAAUGGAAAAGCGUACACACCAUGCUGCGAGCAUAUUUCAACUGAGCUAAAGAGAGAACAAGCGCGAGAGAGAGAGCGCAAUCGAAUGGUGAGCUGUUUGUCGUUAGCAACGAGAGAUUGUGACA